GUCGCGAUCGUGUUCCUGAAAACCACCUCAGGCGGUUCGAACCCGCGGCGUUUCACCGAAUCGAAAACGUUUCUCCAGAACGCAGCCGCGGUUUUGGCUCCUUUCGCGAAUGCUCUGAGGUUAGACCAGUGGACCCCAUCGUGGAGUCCCGAGUUAACGAUCAUUACGUCCGGAACACCUUUUUCUUCCGAGAAGUAGCUUUUAAGCAGCUCUCUGAAGCCGUGGUCUCUAAGCGAGUCGAGACCUUGAUAGUUUUGCGUCUCGUUCCAAUGCCCGUUGAAGAUGCUCGUGAUCCUAACGGUCUCUGACGAGUUCUUCGGGUUAGAGAACUUCAAAUCAAACCUCCUCGGGACAGCGCCGAUCUCGGGAUGGCCCAAGACGAAGUUCAGCAAGUUUCUAAUCGUGUCCACGUGGUUCGAGUCUCCCCAGAAGAAGAUCCAUUUAUUCUUCAAGCAGCUCCAAGCCGAGUCCCCGGAAAAGAGUUUAAACAAGCAGUGGCUCGAGUAGACCCAACCGUUGCUCUCUAACUCCGCCAACGCUCCGUCGCACCACGGUUUCCGGCAAGGGAAAUCAUCAUCCAGGCAACGGUAACGUCCGUCAUUGCGGAUUUCGCAUUCCUCGUUCUUGCCGAGCCUUGUCCACCGCCCCGACCAGACGUCCCUAGCGAAGUCUGACCCUUUGCUUCUGGCUUGGUCUCUUUCUGCAGGUGAUGCUUGUCCUCUUUGAGUUUGUUGUGGCUUCCAUCUUGUCCUUCAUUUUGCUGUUCACAGCUUAUGCUGUUUGCGGCCUGUUCUUGUAUUCCGGAUUAGGUGGGCCUCUCUCCUAGUUGUUUGUUCAGAUCGUGCGAAGAUAUGUUGUGUUUGUCACUUCAUACCUAGGCGUUCUAUGGUCAUCGUAGAUCAAGUCGUUUCCGGGAAUGUUAGCAAGAUUCUUUGCUUGUCGGAUUAUGAAGGUUCUGUUACUGGGUCCUUGUGGUGUUUCCUCAGAGUUCUAGGAGGAGGUGGUUUAGCGGUGGUCUGACCGAGGGUAUUCCCAGUAAGCACGUGUCAGAGGCCCUUUCGGACAGUCUCCAUGUUAUUGUUAGACUUAUGUUGGAAGUUUGGAAGAUUAAUCACUUGUGUUAAGGUUGUAAUAUUUCUUAAUCUUGUAUGUUGCCCCCUUGUGGGUUCUAGUGCCCGGAGAUAUCUCUAUGUUCUGCCGGUUUAGCUAACCACAAAAGGGUUUUGUAUACGUUGGUUUCUGUUGGUUUGUGUAGAUCACAAUUUUGCUAUCAAUAAAAUCAGUUGACGGAAAAAAAAAGAUCGACAAACAAAUCAUUACAGUCUAACUGUCGUCUAGACGAUUUGUAGUGUACUUCAAAUGUGCUAACAUAUAAUUUAUUCUAUAUUCAGAAGUGUACACAACAUCAAAAACAAAAGAAUCGUGAUUCCUAACUCUACUUCUAACCAAACUAAACAUCACUCUUACUAUUUUAUCUCACACACAAUGCAUUUAACAAGACAUGAACAAGCAUCAGAUCAACAAAGUACUGAUGCCCAAUCUCGCCGUCUCUCCACCGCAUCUUCGCCGGAGCUCUCCCGUAAUGAACCCCAUCGUUACACCGGUUAUCAUAAUGCCACGGAUACGUCAUGUCAAAGUUAUCAACCACACCCGACACCAACCCAAACUCCUUCAUCUUCUCCAAAAACACACCAUUGAACACUUCCAUCUUGCUCGGGUUAAACGCCAGCUCCCUCGCGUAACCCCCCGUCGCGAUCGUGUUCCUGAAAACCACCUCAGGCGGUUCGAACCCGCGGCGUUUCACCGAAUCGAAAACGUUUCUCCAGAACGCAGCCGCGGUUUUGGCUCCUUUCGCGAAUGCUCUGAGGUUAGACCAGUGGACCCCAUCGUGGAGUCCCGAGUUAACGAUCAUUACGUCCGGAACACCUUUUUCUUCCGAGAAGUAGCUUUUAAGCAGCUCUCUGAAGCCGUGGUCUCUAAGCGAG
rnacentral:lncRNA from 1 species